GAUGAACGCUGGCGGCGUGCCUAAUACAUGCAAGUAGAACGCUGAAGGAGGAGCUUGCUCUUCUGGAUGAGUUGCGAACGGGUGAGUAACGCGUAGGUAACCUGCCUGGUAGCGGGGGAUAACUAUUGGAAACGAUAGCUAAUACCGCAUGACAACAGUUAUUGCAUGAUAACUGUUUAAAAGGGGCAACUGCUCCACUACCAGAUGGACCUGCGUUGUAUUAGCUAGUUGGUGAGGUAACGGCUCACCAAGGCGACGAUACAUAGCCGACCUGAGAGGGUGAUCGGCCACACUGGGACUGAGACACGGCCCAGACUCCUACGGGAGGCAGCAGUAGGGAAUCUUCGGCAAUGGACGGAAGUCUGACCGAGCAACGCCGCGUGAGUGAAGAAGGGUUUCGGAUCGUAAAGCUCGGUUGUAAGAGAAGAACGAGUGUGAGAGUGGAAAGUUCACACUGUGACGGUAUCUUACCAGAAAGGGACGGCUAACUACGUG
rnacentral:rRNA from 1 species